AUGACCCUGCUACCGCGAAGGCUUAAGUUCCACUUAAGGUAUUGCUCCCUUGGGAGAAUAGCGACUAGCGGGGUUUU
rnacentral:ncRNA from 1 species